rnacentral:rRNA from 1 species
GACGAACGCUGGCGGCGUGCCUAAUACAUGCAAGUAGAACGCUGAAGGAGGAGCUUGCUUCUCCGGAUGAGUUGCGAACGGGUGAGUAACGCGUAGGUAACCUGCCUGGUAGCGGGGGAUAACUAUUGGAAACGAUAGCUAAUACCGCAUAACAGUAGAUAUUGCAUGAUAUCUGCUUGAAAGGUGCAAUUGCAUCACUACCAGAUGGACCUGCGUUGUAUUAGCUAGUUGGUGAGGUAACGGCUCACCAAGGCGACGAUACAUAGCCGACCUGAGAGGGUGAUCGGCCACACUGGGACUGAGACACGGCCCAGACGCCUACGGGAGGCAGCAGUAGGGAAUCUUCGGCAAUGGACGGAAGUCUGACCGAGCAACGCCGCGUGAGUGAAGAAGGUUUUCGGAUCGUAAAGCUCUGUUGUAAGAGAAGAACGAGUGUGAGAGUGGAAAGUUCACACUGUGACGGUAUCUUACCAGAAAGGGACGGCUAACUACGUG